rnacentral:rRNA from 1 species
UACGUAGGGGGCAAGCGUUAUCCGGAUUUACUGGGUGUAAAGGGAGCGUAGACGGUGAGACAAGUCUGAAGUGAAAGCCCGGGGCUCAACCCCGGGACUGCUUUGGAAACUGCCUGACUGGAGUGCUGGAGAGGCAAGCGGAAUUCCUAGUGUAGCGGUGAAAUGCGUAGAUAUUAGGAAGAACACCAGUGGCGAAGGCGGCUUGCUGGACAGUAACUGACGUUGAGGCUCGAAAGCGUGGGUAGCAAACAGG